rnacentral:rRNA from 1 species
UACGGAGGGUGCAAGCGUUAUCCGGAUUCACUGGGUUUAAAGGGUGCGUAGGCGGGCAGGUAAGUCCGUGGUGAAAUCUCUGAGCUUAACUCAGAAACUGCCAUGGAUACUAUUUGUCUUGAAUGUUGUGGAGGUAAGCGGAAUAUGUCAUGUAGCGGUGAAAUGCUUAGAUAUGACAUAGAACACCAAAUGCGAAGGCAGCUUACUAAGCUAUGAUUGACGCUGAGGCACGAAAGCGUGGGGAUCAAACAGG